CAACAUUUCAGCUUCUGUUCAAAACUCUGCUGUGUAAUUCAUAAAUGAUCAUAUAAUUGAUUAAUUAAACUUACACAGGCUGUUAUUGUGUGUUUGUCACAGUGAGAAAUCAUCAUCUAUGCAGAUCAAGCACAAACGAUUUGCCUUCUCAGAGGCAGGUUCUGCAGCACGAAGAAUGUGAAAGGAGCUUUCCCAUCGUCCUCGCUCCCUCUGUCAUCGCCCUGGUCUGAAGAGCCCCCAACUCUGCCUCAGUCCCGCCGAUUUGUCAGCUCAUUCCCGUUACUGAUUUAUUGGCUCCACCAUGAUGUCUCUCUCCACCGACUCCUCCACUGCCCUGCCCAUCACCAGCUCCACGCCCACCUCCAAAGCCCCCUCCCUCCUGUGUACUUGUUAUGGUGUGAGGACGCACCUUCCAGAAGUGGGGAGCUACUGUAAUGUUUCAUUCGGUUUCAGUUUGCCUGUGUUCCUGAUAAUUCGUUAAUUAGUUCACAACUUGUUGUAUUUCUCUCUUGAUGACCUCUAGUGUUUAUAAGCCCUGUAUUCUUUCAGUUCUUAUCUGAUCUUGUUUGAGUGGUUGUAGCUCCUGUGUAUUGCUAUUUUUGGAUUAAAACUACUCCUUAUUGAAGUUCUUCAUUGUGCGCCUUAUUUAUAUACUACAACCAUGACAACAUGCUUCAAGUAAUACACAGAAUAAAAAUAAAACAAAUAAUAAAAUAUUUUUUUAAUUACAA